UGGGUGAUCAUUUGGGAUGAUGCAGAUACGUGACUGAGAGCGGUGCUGAUGCUGGUGUUUUGGUUGUCAGAUUGUAAAUGCCUCAGCGCAGCAACUGUCUUUUAGUUGUGGGUUUGUCCAGUGGCUAGCACAACAGGGCCCUGAUCCGUGAUUUGGGCCCCGGGUGCCACUACAAUACAAAUCAACAAGCAUCACUAUGAGCAGGUGGCAGCGCUUACCUCACUGACAAGUCCUACAGCAUGAAGCUCUCCCUUGUGCAGAGGGCUGGCAUAGGCUGUGAGCGCAAUAUCUAAAUCCCACUUAUGCCCUCAAAAUAGACCUAGUUCUGACCUUGGGCUGGGUGCUCAGCUGCGGUAGACGGACGUAGCUCCAGUGAUGUUCGUUGGAUCUGGCCCUCUGCACAAGGGUGGAUUUCACCUACAUGGCUUAUGCCUUAAAGGCCUUCACUGUUUAAAAUGAAACUCACAGUGUCACUUCUCUCUCGCUGUGAACAAUCUCAAGCAGAAAGUAAAGCGAGUCAGACAAGGACAGCACUAAAGGGAAGCUCUCAAGCAAGUCACAGCGUAUCAGGAACCUCACAGCCGGCAUCUACAGACGGCCUGUCGGGACUUGGUGCCUCUCUCUUUCCUCAGACGCUAGGUGGCGACGGUGGCAGGUAGUGCAGUGUGAAUCCUUCUGAAAUGUUCCACUGUCGCAUUGGGACGGUCCUUGGUUUCUUAGAUAAUUGGGUUCCCUAAUACUUUGAUCUGCUGGCCUUUCCAUUGCUUCCCCGUGUGCAUCCCCCCGUCUUUGCCUGGUGGAACAUUCAUUCUAAUGGAGGGAACCCAAGAACAUGCCGAGUGUGUCUAGCCACCUCUGGCACCUUAUCAUUAAUUGAUUGAUUGAAUUAAUUGGUGCAGAACAAUACGCAGAGGGUGGACACAGAUAUAGGGUAAAUUCGCUUCUUGCAUUGCGGGCCCUUUGUGGUGCUAAGUCUGCCCUGGCUCAAGUGCAUGCAAACCCCACCGAUGAAGAAAGCAAGGGCUGUAAGAGGAGUUUAACAGGAGUUUCUGAUUGGCAGGGUGUUCAAGUGGUUUGUUCAGGGAAUGGAGAAGGUAAUUCCACAGCCUCUGGCCAGAGGGAAGCAAGAUGCUCAGGCUGCAGAAGUUGCAACCUUGUGCCCAGUGGAAGAGAGGGGGGAAGGGGCUUAGGGCCUCUGAAACAAAUGGAAAAUGAAGACCUUGGAGAACCUCCCUUGCCCAAAAUAAAGCGAAACCAGCCUGAAGAGAAAACACGACUGGGGGUAGAAAAAAAGAAAAGAAAAGAAAUAUCUGCAAGUUGUUUACUAAUUACCCCCCACUUCCUCAGACUAGGCCAUGAACAAAACCAGAAGCUCAACUAGUUCAAUUAUUGCACCAUUGUCAAUGAGGAAAUACAGCUGCCUGCCCCUGCAGAGUGAGACCUAAUGCCCCCCUCGCAGGGUUUAGACACGCAACUGACUGCCUCUUUGGUGCGGGGAGAGGAGGUUCUUCCUUUCCUUUUCUGCUCCUACAGACAAUCCGACUCUGAUCACCACCGAUAAUCAUUCUUUUCCUGCUUUCACUUGGCAUUGACUGGUCUGUAAAACUCAGAGGUGGAGCUGUGGGCGCUUCAGAACGUGGCUGGGAGUAAUGGCCGUGAGGCUGUACAAAUACUGCAUGUGAGCAUUGAAAUAGGUCCCUGAUGCACCCUUCCAAAAAGAGAGCUUCCUAUUUUUCCCUCUCCCGUCACUUCUGAAACCAUAAAAUGGUUUCAUGAAAAGCCACGACAUACCAAAUGUUUCACACUGAGAACGCCCGCUGCAACCUGCUCACUUCUUUGAAUUGAGUUCUCUUUCACAAAGACUUAGCUUGAUUCAAUAAUUGCUUUUAACUUCUCACUGGAGACUCGUAUUCUCUCUCUUCCACUACAGGGCGGUUCUGCUUUUAGCAAGUGGGGGUGGUGGGGUCUGACCCAGAAUAGCAAAUGUUAUCAGGUGAAAUUCGUGGCACAUAGAAUCACAGAAGAUUAGGGUUGGAAGAGACCUCAGGAGGUCAUCUAGUCCAACCCCCUGCUCAAAGCAGGAUCAAUCCCCAACUAAAUCAUCCCAGCCAGGACUUAGUCAAGCUGGGCCUUAAAAACCUCUAAGGAAGGAGAUUCCACCACCUCCCUAGGGAACCCAUUCCAGUGCUUCAU
ensembl:lncRNA